rnacentral:misc_RNA from 1 species
UUAAGUUCAGCGGGUAUCCCUACCUGAUCCGAGGUCAACCUGAAAAAUGGGGGUUCUGGCAGGUGCCGCCCGGGAGUCUGUAGCGAGGAGUAUUACUACGCUUAGAGCCCGGCCGUACCGCCACUGCUUUGAGGCCCGCCAGCCGGCGGUGCCCAAGACCAGCAAGCUGGAUUGGUUAUAAUGACGCUCGAACAGGCAUG